rnacentral:rRNA from 1 species
UACGUAGGGGGCAAGCGUUGUCCGGAAUCAUUGGGCGUAAAGCGCGUGUAGGCGGCCCGGUAAGUCCGCUGUGAAAGUCGGGGGCUCAACCCUCGAAUGCCGGUGGAUACUGUCGGGCUAGAGUGCGGAAGAGGCGAGUGGAAUUCCUGGUGUAGCGGUGAAAUGCGCAGAUAUCAGGAAGAACACCCGUGGCUAAGGCGGCUCUCUAGUACGGUACUGACGCUGAGGCGCGACAGCGUGGGGAGCAAACAGG